GACGAACGCUGGCGGCGUGCUUAACACAUGCAAGUCGAACGGAAAGGCCCUGCUUUUGUGGGGUGCUCGAGUGGCGAACGGGUGAGUAACACGUGAGUAACCUGCCCUUGACUUUGGGAUAACUUCAGGAAACUGGGGCUAAUACCGGAUAGGAGCUCCUGCUGCAUGGUGGGGGUUGGAAAGUUUCGGCGGUUGGGGAUGGACUCGCGGCUUAUCAGCUUGUUGGUGGGGUAGUGGCUUACCAAGGCUUUGACGGGUAGCCGGCCUGAGAGGGUGACCGGCCACAUGGGGACUGAGAUACGGCCCGGACUCCUACGGGAGGCAGCAGUGGGGAAUAUUGCACAAUGGGCGGAGGCCGGAUGCAGCAACGCCGCGUGCGGGAUGACGGCCUUCGGGUUGUAAACCGCUUUCGCCUGUGACGAAGCGUGAGUGACGGGAAUGGGUAAAGAAGCACCGGCUAACUACGU
rnacentral:rRNA from 1 species